rnacentral:rRNA from 1 species
GACGAACGCUGGCGGCGUGCUUAACACAUGCAAGUCGAACGGAAAGGCCCUGCUUUUGUGGGGUGCUCGAGUGGCGAACGGGUGAGUAACACGUGUGUAACCUGCCCUUGACUUUGGGAUAACUUCAGGGAACUGGGGCUAAUACCGGAUAGGAGAUCCUGCUGCAUGGUGGGGGUUGGAAAGUUUCGGCGGUGGGGGAUGGACUCGCGGCUUCUCGGCUUGUUUGUGGGGUAGUGGCUUACCAAGGGUUUGACGGGUAGCCCGCCUGGGAGGGUGGCCGGCGACCAGGGGACUGCGGGACGGCCCAGUCGCCUACGGGAGGCAGCAGGCGGGAGUAUGGCACAACGGGCGGACGUCUGAGGCAGAAACCCCGCGUGCGGGAUGCUGGCUUUCGGGUGGUAAACCGCUUUGGCCGGUGACGAAGCGUGAGUGACGGUACUGGGUAAAAAAGCACCGGCUAACUACGUG